UACGUAGGGUGCAAGCGUUGUCCGGAAUUAUUGGGCGUAAAGAGCUCGUAGGCGGUCUGUCGCGUCUGCUGUGAAAACUCAGGGCUUAACCCUGAGCUUGCAGUGGGUACGGGCAGACUAGAGUGCGGUAGGGGAGACUGGAAUUCCUGGUGUAGUGGUGAAAUGCGUAGAGAUCGGGAGGAACACCUGUGGCGAAGGCGGCCCCCUGGGCCGGCCCUGACACUGAGACGCGAAGGCGUGGGGAGCGAACGGG
rnacentral:rRNA from 1 species